UUUCCGUAGGUGAACCUGCGGAAGGAUCAUUAUUGUAUAACCGAGGUGCGAGGGCUGUCGCUGACCCGAAAGGUCGUGCACGUCCGAGUGCCCUCACACACAUCCAUCUCACCCCUAUGUGCACCACCGCGUGGGUCCCCCUUUGGCUUGUUCGGAGGGGGGCUUACGUUUUCACACAAACUUUGUAUGCAGUGUAGAAUGUAUUUUUUGUUUUUGCGAUCACGCAAUCAAUACGACUUUCAACAACGGAUCUCUUGGCUCUC
rnacentral:misc_RNA from 1 species